GUAUGGGUACCUGAUGAGAAAGGGGUCCUGGUUCUUCCUUAUAGCUUAUCUCCUGCCUACCCUGGCUGGGCUCUGACCCACCCAGCAGGCUGGGGUCCUCUUCUGUAUGAUAAGGAAACUGAGGCUUAGAGGAGUUGUGAAACUGCCCACAGUUUCACAGCUAAAAUGUAUAAGGACCUGGACUUUCAAAUUUGGCACAAAGUCCUUCUUAUAAGAAGGCCAUAAAAUGACCAAAUAAUUUUUUAUAUGCCUAUAGAACCAAAAGAACUAUUUCAGAAUAUCAGCUGAAAACCACAAUAUUCCAGACAGCUUAGAUACUUUGGCAUGGGGCCUUCCUGGAAAGCUGGAUUGCAUCUAAAACCCUGUGGCAGAGGGAGAAACCACAGACAAGCCAUCCUGAGAAAACUCAGGCUGGGACUAAAGCUCUGCUCUCCAGGGACAAAGUAGCAGGAGACCAGCCAUGCUUAGAGACACUCCACUAGCCAGUGCAACAUUGUUCUGAGCAAUUUCACUUGCUUCCACAUGACCUGCCCCACUAACACUUCUAUUAUAGUGGCAAAUAAAUCCAUACCCAA